rnacentral:rRNA from 1 species
CACGAAUGGCGUAAUGAUGGCCAGGCUGUCUCCACCCGAGACUCAGUGAAAUUGAACUCGCUGUGAAGAUGCAGUGUACCCGCGGCAAGACGGAAAGACCCCGUGAACCUUUACUAUAGCUUGACACUGAACAUUGAGCCUUGAUGUGUAGGAUAGGUGGGAGGCUUAGAAGUGUGGACGCCAGUCUGCAUGGAGCCGACCUUGAAAUACCACCCUUUAAUGUUUGAUGUUCUAACGUUGACCCGUAAUCCGGGUUGCGGACAGUGUCUGGUGGGUAGUUUGACUGGGGCGGUCUCCUCCUAAAGAGUAACGGAGGAGCACGAAGGUUGGCUAAUCCUGGUCGGACAUCAGGAGGUUAGUGCAAUGGCAUAAGCCAGCUUGACUGCGAGCGUGACGGCGCGAGCAGGUGCGAAAGCAGGUCAUAGUGAUCCGGUGGUUCUGAAUGGAAGGGCCAUCGCUCAACGGAUAAAAGGUACUCCGGGGAUAACAGGCUGAUACCGCCCAAGAGUUCAUAUCGACGGCGGUGUUUGGCACCUCGAUGUCGGCUCAUCACAUCCUGGGGCUGAAGUAGGUCCCAAGGGUAUGGCUGUUCGCCAUUUAAAGUGGUACGCGAGCUGGGUUUAGAACGUCGUGAGACAGUUCGGUCCCUAUCUGCCGUGGGCGCUGGAGAACUGAGGGGGGCUGCUCCUAGUACGAGAGGACCGGAGUGGACGCAUCACUGGUGUUCGGGUUGUCAUGCCAAUGGCACUGCCCGGUAGCUAAAUGCGGAAGAGAUAAGUGCUGAAAGCAUCUAAGCACGAAACUUGCCCCGAGAUGAGUUCUCCCUGACCCUUUAAG